GUGGGGAAUAUUGGACAAUGGGCGAAAGCCUGAUCCAGCCAUGCCGCGUGUGUGAAGAAGGUCUUCGGAUUGUAAAGCACUUUAAGUUGGGAGGAAGGGCAGUAAGUUAAUACCUUGCUGUUUUGACGUUACCGACAGAAUAAGCACCGGCUAACUUCGUGCCAGCAGCCGCGGUAAUACGAAGGGUGCAAGCGUUAAUCGGAAUUACUGGGCGUAACGCGCGCGUAGGUGGUUUUGUAAGUUGGAGGUGAAAUCCCCGGGCUCAACCUGGGAACUGCCUCCAAAACUGCAUGACUAGAGUACGGUAGAGGGUAGUGGAAUUUCCUGUGUAGCGGUGAAAUGCGUAGAUAUAGGAAGGAACACCAGUGGCGAAGGCGACUACCUGGACUGAUACUGACACUGAGGUGCGAAAGCGUGGGGAGCAAACAGGAUUAGAAACCCGAGUAGUCC
rnacentral:rRNA from 1 species